rnacentral:rRNA from 1 species
UAAAGUGGCGAACGGCUGAGUAACACGUGGGCAACCUGCCCUUUGCACUGGGAUAGCCUCGGGAAACCGAGGUUAAUACCGGAUACUCCAUAUUUGUCGCAUGGCGAAUAUGGGAAAGCUCCGGCGGCAAAGGAUGGGCCCGCGGCCUGUUAGCUAGUUGGUGGGGGUAGUGGCCUACCAAGGCAAUGAUGGGUAGCCGGGUUGAGAGACCGACCGGCCAGAUUGGGACUGAGACACGGCCCAGACUCCUACGGGAGGCAGCAGUC